rnacentral:rRNA from 1 species
UACGAAGGGGGCUAGCGUUGUUCGGAUUUACUGGGCGUAAAGCGCGCGUAGGCGGACGUUUAAGUCAGGGGUGAAAUCCCAGGGCUCAACCCUGGAACGGCCUUUGAUACUGGACGUCUGGAGAUCGGGAGAGGUUGGUGGAAUUCCGAGUGUAGAGGUGAAAUUCGUAGAUAUUCGGAGGAACACCAGAAGCGAAGGCGGCCAACUGGCCCGAUACUGACGCUGAGGCGCGAAAGCGUGGGGAGCAAACGGG